UUCCGGUUGAUCCUGCCGGACCCUACUGCUAUCGGGGUGGGACUAAGACAUGCGAGUUGAGCGUCUCUAAGCCAUGGUAGAGACGCGGCGUACGGCUCAGUAACACGUGGCUAACCUACCCUUAGGACGGGGACAACCCCGGGAAACUGGGGCUAAUACCCGAUAGGCGAGGAGGCCUGGAAUGGUUCUUAGUCGAAAAGGCGUUGAAACCAUGCUUUUCGACGUUGCCUAAGGAUGGGGCCGCGCCCGAUCAGGUUGUUGGUGGGGUAACGGCUCACCAAGCCUAUAACCGGUACGGGCCGUGAGAGCGGGAGCCCGGAGAUGGGCACUGAGACAAGGGCCCAGGCCCUACGGGGCGCAGCAGUCGCGAAAACUCCGCAAUGCGCGAAAGCGUGACGGGGCUACCCCGAGUGCCGUCCGCUGAGGAUGGCUUUUCUCCGGUGUAAUGAGCCGGGGGAAUAAGGAGAGGGCAAGUCUGGUGUCAGCCGCCGCGGUAAUACCAGCUCUCCGAGUGGUAGGGAUGAUUAUUGGGCUUAAAGCGUCCGUAGCCGGCUUAGCAAGUCUCCUGUUAAAUUCAGCGACCUAAUCGUUGAGCCGCGGGAGAUACUACUAGGCUAGGAGGCGGGAGAGGCCGACGGUAUUCUCGGGGUAGGGGUGAAAUCCUAUAAUCCCGGGAGGACUACCAGUGGCGAAGGCUGUCGGCUAGAACGCGCUCGACGGUGAGGGACGAAAGCUGGGGGAGCGAACCGGAUUAGAUACCCGGGUAGUCCCAGAUGUAAACGAUGCGGGCUAGGUGUUGGGGUGGCUACGAGCCACUUCAGUGCCGCAGGGAAGCCGUUAAGCCCGCCGCCUGGGGAGUACGGCCGCAAGGCUGAAACUUAAAGGAAUUGGCGGGGGAGCACCACAAGGCGUGAAGCUUGCGGUUCAAUUGGAUUCAACGCCGGG
rnacentral:rRNA from 1 species